UACGUAGGGGGCGAGUGUUGUUCGGAAUUAUUGGGUGUAAAGGGAGCGUAGGUUGACAGGUAAGUCAGAGGUGAAAAGCUCGCGCUUAACGCGAUGCCCUGCCUUUGAAACUGCCUGUCUUGAGUGUUGGAGAGGGUGACGGAAUUCCUGGUGUAGCGGUGGAAUGCGUAGAUAUCAGGAAGAACACCGGUUGCGAAGGCGGUCAUCUGGCCAAACACUGACACUGAGGCUCGAAAGCCGGGGGA
rnacentral:rRNA from 1 species